AUUGAACGCUGGCGGCAGGCCUAACACAUGCAAGUCGAGCGGCAGCGGGUAGAAAGCUUGCUUUCUAUGCCGGCGAGCGGCGGACGGGUGAGGAAUACCUAGGAAUCUGUCCAUUAGUGGGGAAUAACUAUCCGAAAGGAUAGCUAAUACCGCAUACGCCCUACGGGGGAAAGGGGGGGAUCUUCGGACCUCUCGCUAAUGGGGGAGCCUAGGUCGGAUUAGCUAGUUGGUGGGGUAAAGGCCUACCAAGGCGACGAUCCGUAGUUGGUCUGAGAGGAUGACCAGCCACACUGGGACUGGGACACGGCCCAGACACCUACGGGAGGCAGCAGUGGGGAAUAUUGCACAAUGGGCGAAAGCCUGAUGCAGCCAUGCCGCGUGUGUGAAGAAGGCCUUCGGGUUGUAAAGCACUUUAGGCGAGGAGGAAAGGUUAACGAUUAAUACUCGUUAGCUGUGACGUUACUCGCAGAAUAAGCACCGGCUAACUCCGUGCCAGCCGCCGCCGUAA
rnacentral:rRNA from 1 species